GUUGAAGAUAAUACCGGCGAAAGGAGAAAAUGAUGUACUAAAAUAAUCUCUGUUGUCGUUAGCAAUCUCAGUGAGUGGAACCUGCAGACCAUCGCCUGGAUGCAUUGUAUGUGCGAGUGAGAAGAGGUCACCUGAGAAUGCAGAGGAAGAUAAGUCUUGACUCAGCAAAACACCAUGUGAGUCUGCAACAUCUGACAUAUCCAGGCACUUCCACUUCAACAGGUAAGUUUGGUUUACCCCCUCAUCACAGAAUAUCCUCUUGCCCAAGAUAGAGACCAUUGCAAGAAGUCAA
rnacentral:lncRNA from 1 species